GUACUGGAGGUCCGAACCGACUAGUGUUGCAAAACUAGCGGAUGAGCUGUGGAUAGGGGUGAAAGGCUAAACAAACUUGGAAAUAGCUGGUUCUCUCCGAAAACUAUUUAGGUAGUGCCUCAAGUAUUACCGUCGGGGGUAGAGCACUGUUUUGGCUAGGGGGUCAUGGCGACUUACCAAACCAAUGCAAACUCCGAAUACCGACGAGUACAGCUUGGGAGACAGAGCACCGGGUGCUAACGUCCGGACUCAAGAGGGAAACAACCCAGACCGCCAGCUAAGGUCCCUAAAAUUGGCUAAGUGGGAAACGAAGUGGGAAGGCUAAAACAGUCAGGAUGUUGGCUUAGAAGCAGCCAUCAUUUAAAGAAAGCGUAAUAGCUCACUGAUCGAGUCGUCCUGCGCGGAAGAUGUAACGGGGCUAAGCCAGUUACCGAAGCUGCGGAUUUGCGAGCAAUCGCAAGUGGUAGGAGAGCGUUCUGUAAGCCUGUGAAGGUGGCUUGUAAAGGCUGCUGGAGGUAUCAGAAGUGCGAAUGCUGACAUGAGUAGCGUUAAAGCGGGUGAAAAGCCCGCUCGCCGUAAGCGCAAGGUUUUCUACGCAACGUUCAUCGGCGUAGAGUGAGUCGGCCCCUAAGGCGAGGCAGAGAUGCGUAGCUGAUGGGAAACAGGUCAAUAUUCCUGUACCGAUGUGUAGUGCGAUGUGGGGACGGAUCUUAAUAAGUCAUCCGGGUGUUGGAUAUCCCGGUUUAGCUGGAUGUAGGCGAUGGGUAGGCAAAUCCGCCCGUCAUAUACCGAGGCCAGCGAUCGAGCAAGCUUGCUUGCGAAGUGACCGAACGAGGUUCCAGGAAAAGCCACUAAGCUUCAGCUGCACACGACCGUACCGCAAACCGACACUGGUGCGCGAGAUGAGUAUUCUAAGGCGCUUGAGAGAACUCGGGAGAAGGAACUCGGCAAAUUGACACCGUAACUUCGGAAGAAGGUGUGCCCUAUUAGUGUGAAGCGAACAGCGGAGCAUGAACGGGUUGCAAAGAAUCGGUGGCUGCGACUGUUUAUUAAAAACACAGCACUCUGCAAACACGAAAGUGGACGUAUAGGGUGUGACGCCUGCCCGGUGCUGGAAGAUUAAAUGAUGGGGUGCAAGCUCUUGAUUGAAGUCCCAGUAAACGGCGGCCGUAACAAUAACGGUCCUAAGGUAGCGAAAUUCCUUGUCGGGUAAGCUCCGACCUGCACGAAUGGCGUAACGACGGCCACACUGUCUCCUCCCGAGACUCAGCGAAGUUGAAAUGUUUGUGAUGAUGCAAUCUCCCCGCGGAAAGACGGAAAGACCCCAUGAACCUUUACUGUAGCUUUGUAUUGGACUUUGAACAGAUCUGUGUAGGAUAGGUGGGAGGCUUUGAAGCAGGGUCGCUAGAUCUUGUGGAGCCAACGUUGAAAUACCACCCUGGUGUGUUUGAGGUUCUAACCUAGGUCCAUC
rnacentral:rRNA from 1 species